AAGUUCCUGUGCCCGGUGUGGUCUGGGAAUCGUGGCUCCUGCUGGAAUUACGGGUGUGGAUGUGGCUCUCCAGCUUCAAAUGUCAUUUCGUGUGGAAAACACAGUGACAAAGCCUGCCAGCAGCAUGGGCUUGGUCUCUCUCCAAGGAAAUAAAGCUGCGUGUUCCCACGGGGAACAGAGAAUUCCCAGCACAACUAAGGCAAAGAGGAAGGAGAACAGCUCAUGCUGCCCCCAGCGCCUCUCCAGGCUCUGAGGAUGGUUUUCCUCCUUCCCAAGGCCCACACAGCAAUAAAUUGUCCUGCAGUAUCAUGGGAAUGGUUAACCUUGAGUUGAGUUCACGCAACACCUCCUUCCCUGCAAGGUCGAAUUCCAAAUUGUCCUUUGGAGAGGAAUGAAAUAAAAAGUCAGCGCUUCUCCCUGGGCCACAAAGACUUUGCCUCCUUCUCCCGGAGAGCACCAAAUUCA